GGGGGCAUAGCUCAGGUGUAGAGCGGUCGCUUCGCAUGCGAGAAGUUUGGGUUUCGAUUUGCCAUACCUCCA
rfam:Angiostrongylus cantonensis strain Taiwan genome assembly, scaffold: ACAC_contig0012446